UCCUGAUUAUGCCAUGAUUGCAGAGAUAGUUCUGUAUUCUUGUGGUUUUGUUUCUGCACGACCUCUAUCUGUAAAAAUCGUGGCUACAUACCGUCUAUGUUCUGAGCAGUUGUCAUCCCAGCACCAUUAUGAUUAUGGAAUGAGAGCUGUGAAGUCAGUACUUACUGCUGCUGGCAACCUGAAGCUGAAAUAUCCAUUGGAAGAUGAAGAAAUUUUGCUGCUUAUAUCCAUUACACGUCAACCUGCCUAAAUUCUUGUCUCACCAUUCACCACUUCUUGAGGGUAUUACCUCUGAUUUGUUUCCUGGUGUGAAGCUGCCAAAACCAGACUACAAUGACCUGUUGGAAGCCAUCAAAACAAACUGUGUUGCUAUGAAUUUGCAAAUGACUGAUGUAUUUACUAUGAAGAUCCUGCAGAUAUAUGAGAUGAUGAUCGUGCGUCAUGGCUUUAUGAUAGUUGGAGAGCCUUUUGGUGGAAAAACUUGUGCGUAUCGAGU